UAACUGGUGACCUAGUGGUUGGGACAUCCGCUUCCGAUGCGGGAGGUCGCGGUUUCAAACCCCUGCCGAGUCAU